AUGCAUUAUUGCCAAACAGAAGUAGGACAGACACUGGCCGCCGCGACUGACGAGGAUCUCACGAUCGUGGUAUGUGAAGCCAUCGUGAUGGAUGCUGGUAUUGGGGACUGUUGGGAGGAUGGCCGUGUCCCUCGCAGGGUAGAGGGGACAACGCACCCUUGUUGGGUUCAUGGUGCGGUUCGGUUACAUCUCGAAGGUUGGGAGGAGGAGGAGGCCGUUCCAGCAAUCCAGGUCGAACCUGUCGGGGCCCAAGGAAUCCAGGUCGAAGCUAACGCGGCGGACGACGUCGGCGAGCUCAGGGGGCUGGGGCAGCGCCACGAACCGAGGGGGGUGGGUGCAUGUGGUGACGACGUAGAAGCCGAGCAGGCUGGGCGGGUGGAGGCCGCGGAAGCGGCGGAGGAAGGCCGGCGCGGCGGCGUGGAGGAGCCAGCGCUUGCAGACGAGCGCGGCGCGGACGAGGCUGGUGGGGAAGGCGAGGCGGAGGAGGAUCUCACCGAGGAGGUCGUCGUCGUCGAGCACGGCCGAGAUGACGGCUGCGGCGGCCGCCGGCGCUCUCUUCGCUUCCAUCUCCGCUCUGGAUCUGGUUUGGGGAUUGAGGAUUUCAGAGAAGGGUCGCCACGGCACUCACCGGAGCAGAAUUUGGGGUAA
rnacentral:rRNA from 1 species